UAAAAAAAAAAAGAAAAUUCUAAAUCACCAGCACAAAUUUUUGUGGAUAUGGUUUAAAGGAAGGAGUAAAGGCCAAAGGGUGUGCUUAUGUUGUUAGCCUUACUUGUCAGGGAGAGACUAGACUCGACAGAAAUAAAAGAGGCAAUAAAAGUAGAUGCUUUCCUCUUGGGAUUUCAAAGCCCUGUUUGCGGAAGAAAUAAAUAUAAUAAAAUUAUGAAGAAAGAAAGUAUGUAUUAUUAGCUAGGUGGUGAUGGUGUCCUAUGUGGGCAGGUGAGGUGGUGGAAUUCAAAGGUUUAGUAGGAAAAUAUUUGUUAUUUUGUUAGGGCAAUAUCCAACAUAGAUAUAGAUUUAAGGAAUAAACAAUGGGA
rnacentral:misc_RNA from 1 species